AGCACUAAUGCCCACUCUGAAGGAUUUGAUAAAGAUUAGAUAAAGUGCAUUAGGUAAAGUGUUCCCAGUAAGCUGUCACAUGGCAGGCACUCAUCAAGUGAUAGCUAAUUUUAUUAUUGCCCAGAAUCAUUUUGUAGAGGUGGCCCUGGCCCCUGAAGCUGUUAUCUCUUGGAGACCAACAUGGAACUCAGCAGAGGUCGAAUUUCUUUCUGAAUCCUAAAAUCUUGACAAGGACUUUUGGACAUUACUUUACUCCCUAAAGGACCUGUAUUAGCCCCACACAAUGGUUUUUCCCUAUUCAACAUAGUUCUUCUGGCCCAAAUAUUCAGGAGCUCUAACAAGACCUUACCCAAUGACAAAGAGAGAAGACAGUCUCCUGGUUCCCCCUCCUUGCAGAAGAGAGUUGGUUCCCCACUUAAAGUUAUAGGCAGAGAGCUUCUUAGGCAACAGCUUCACCUACAGCCAGCAGGGUGGACCCCUGUGCUCAUUAGUGGCAAUACAAAAUGAAGGUUUAGAUCAAUGUCUCUCAUUUGAAGAGGACACUUGAGAGAAGUCAGAAAGCCAACCUGUGGUCAAUAAUUCUUUAGCCGGACUAAGUACAUAACAUCUCAACUAUCCCAGAGCUUGAAGGGCACGACAUCCGGCACUAUUUCUCUUUGCUCACUAACCAGCCUGCCUGCCCUAUUGAGCUACUCAUUGUUUAUAAAAGCUGUAGUCAAGUCAGGGAGCUGUGCCUGACUGCUCCUUAGAUAUCUCAGGAGCCCACAGCUGUUCUGUUCUGCAUGGGGUCUUGCCCUUAAGCAUCCUUAUGGCAUUUCUUUUCCCACUCUGCUUAAGGUUCUCUCAUUUAAUAGCUCCUUGAGAAUUCUGGUUACCUGCUGUCUGCACUUAUAUAACUUGCAUGUAUUUUGCUGAAGACCCUGCUUAGAACUAUUAUACUGUUGAUAUAGCCCAUAUUCUGAUCAUUUGUGAUUUCCAGAUGUUGACCUAAAACUGUUAACCAGCCAUCAGUUACAAAGAGUACUUAAGCACAGCAGAAGGAAAACUGUACACAGUCAGAAAACCUACAUCCCAGUCUCAGCACUGUCACUAACUCUGUGUGACUUCAUCAAGUCUUACACACCCCUGAUCUUGAUAUUCCACCAAUUUAUAGAUCAUCUUUCAAUACGUGCUGCUAUGGGGAUGUGGAAGAAUAAGGCAGGAUCCCUGUCCUCAAAAGAUUAACAUCUAGUUGAGGAUAAAAGAUCAAUAUACUUUUAAGGAAGGGAAUCAAGCAAAAUAGGGCAAAAUCCAGUGUAAGACAGGGUGGUGUAGAUAUUCAUGGUUUGCCAGAUCCCAACAGAGAAUCUCAAAGGGGCCUGAACAGCCAGGGAAAAUCUCCAAGAAGAGAUUGGACUUGAUCUGGGUCUUAAAUGAUGGACAGAUUUUUCAUGGCAAAGAACAGUGGGGAUGACAUUCUAGCUGAGGCAGGAGUGAGCAUAAUGAACUCAGGACAGAUCGUGGGAGGGCUAAGGAUGCAGGGAAUCCUAAGGCAGGAUCAGUAGGACUGUGCAGGACACUGAACAUGAGAAAAAGGAGUUUGUGUGACAUAAGGUCAACCAAGCAUUUGAAUAAUGAGUGGCUAAGCACGUUAUAGACUUGAUACUAAGGAAUUUCUGCACUUCCAGGCACCAAAGUGCUCUAUUUUAGUCAGUUCCAUGACACAUCCACUUCCUCCUUACCUGCCCUUCCAUCCCCCUAUCCCAGCAACCAUCUAGCCCACGACCUGAAACAAUGUAUAUGUACUUAGUAAAAUUUAUUAAUUUCCCCUUUUCCACUCACCAGUAGCAAUGAGUUUUCCAUUAGGGCUUUUGGUAAAAACAUGAGCUGACCAGCUUUUUGCUGAUAUAAUUAUAGCCAAAAAAUAAAUCAACUGCAUGCUCUAGUGAGCCUAUAUACCUCAAAGAAUGACACAGCUUAUGUUUUUGAAAUACAGUAAACGGUCCCUGAUUGAGAAUCAAUAAUUUAGGUGAAACUACUUAUGUCGUAGACAAGAAUGGGGACAAGAUCUAGUCUUGCCAAGACCUUUAAGAGAUUUAGAGUAAACCCAGGGGUGCAGGAUCAUGGGUGGCAGGACCUAUGGUUCAGGAUUGUUGCCCCCUGUGGGUGUGAGUGAUGAGACUGGAAUGAGGCCAGAAGGCUGAAGAAAAGCAUGCAAUAAGACAUAAGCCAGCACCUGCAUUAGGAUGUGGUGAGGAACAAUUAGAUCACAGACAUUUUGAUGAAAGAAUCAAAAAGACUUGGUAAUUUGAUUUGUGGUAUAAAAAGGAGGAUGUAUCUAUUAUGGAUAUUUGUAAGCCACAGAAAUUGAAUCUGGCAGGCAAAGACAAAACAAAAACAAAAACAAACACAGUAAUGAAAUGAUGUUGGUAGGUCUGAGAACCUAAGGAAAAGCUGAAAACUCCUAUGAGUCUAGGUUGUAAACAUUAAGAGUUUCUUGAGAACCCUGCCACAGGGAUGACUUCCGUCCACUCUCAGUAAUUUUGUCAAUAUGCUCAAGAUUCAUAUUCCAGUUUUGCAACCAGAAUAACUAAAACAAUGAUGGUGGCAUUAGCCAAAGUCAGGGACCUGAGAAAAAUGCAUGGUCUUUAAUGAACCAUUUUUCUUCCUAAACCAGAAAACUCUAAAACUCCCAACUCUAAAAUGCUGUGAGUUAAUAAGUUGGAGUUUUGUUCUUUAAUAUUUCUUAUCUCCCAAUUAACCUAGUGUUUUAGGUUAGAGCCUCCCAGAAUCACACCCUAAGAUAAGGAUUUGAGUGCACAUGAUUUAUUUUUUUUAUUCUUUGGGGGGGCCAUACCCAUGGCAUAUGGAGGUUCCCAAGCUAGGGGUCUAAUCAGAGCUGCAGCUGCCAGCCUACAUCACAGCCACAGCAACGCCAGAUCAGAGCCUUGUCUGUGACCUACACCACAGCUCACAGCAACACCGGAUCCUUAACCCACCAAGUGAUCCCAGGGAUUGAACCCGCAACCUCAGGGUUCCUAGUCAGAUUCAUUGCUACUGUGCCACAAUGGGAACUCCACAUGAUUUAUUUGAUGUGAUCCAGGAUGCACCAAUAAGGGAGGACAUGAGAGGAGAAAGGGAAGAAAUUGAAGGCAGGUGUGUCAUGAGCAGAUUAUCAUUGUGAGCAACAGGGUCUCAGCCCCACUGGGGAGCUCUGGGAGGCAAGAGAACCUGCCUCAGAGUUGUCCCACCAGAGGGUAGGUAAUGGGGUUAUUUACUCACCAUCUUUGCUCCGUCACUGGCAAGGGCUGCAUCCAGGGACAUUACCUUCUGGCCUGCUCUGGAUGAGCUGAGCAUGUGCCCAUUCUGACAAUGCUUGGCAGAGCUGCAGGUGCUGCUGAUAGAAAACCAUGAGCAUGUAAGGAACAGUGAAGGCCAAAGCACUAUGGGCAGGGUAUUAAUAGCAUCCGCCAUCUGAGUGUCCUUAACAGUUUGGCUCUUCACAGCAUUUUCACCUUGGAGCCAUAACAGUGUUCAUCAGAGGAGCCCACUCAGGGCUCACAAGCUUAUAAGCAAUUCGGGAGAACUCAGAAACUGCUUUCUUGACCAUGUUUCUGCUCAACUUCAUGGUCUUUCAUUUGCUUACUUUCUGUGGCUUCUUGUGUCUUUUACUCCUAAAGCCACUGUUCCUUUUCUAAAUGCCUUUUUAACACCACUGUCCCCAGACAGCCAUGAUGCUAUCUUCUGCCAAAAUGUGCAGGAUAGAUGAGUGGAGAAGUGUUACAACUUAAAUUAGAAGCAUGUAAACAAUGCUGGGAAAUUCUGUCCGAGGCUAUGCCUCAUGCUCGGUAGCAAAAUCAGCCUUCAGGAGAACUGAUGCUCCUUUUCGUGAAUCAGUGAUGGAAAAGUUGGUCUGAUUUCAUGUUCACUGCCUUUGGAAGGUCUCAGAUGGCAUCUUGCCACCACUCUACAACUGUCAAACCAAGAUUAAAGGUGCUGAGGUAAAUUACUGGGGCCAUGUUUGUGUUGUGACUGAGCCACGAGCUUAGGACAAAACCAUUACCUGUCUUGAGCAGCCCAUUAGUUCAUUUGUUCCAGUCCACUGGUUCAGGCCUGGCCCUGCUGCUCCUAAAACGGUUAUUUGAGCUCUCAUUUCAGUUCAGAUCAUGACAAGAACACUACUACAGAAUAUUCUUUGGAUAUUCCAUAUGUAUUAGUCACUGUUCAAUCACAUUGUUGUGUAUAUUUUUACUAUCCACUUAGCAAACUCAGACAAAUUAGAAAAAGUUAGUUGAGGCAACACCCAAAUUGUUUCCCUCAUCUCUCCCACUUUCUUUGCCUACAUAAAUGUGUUUGGAUCUUUGAGUUACGAAAUUACGUACAUGACAUAAAGCAGCAAAAUGAAAUAAAGCCAAUAUUUAUAUCUUCCUUUUAUUUAAUAUUCAACAAACAAGAAUUUUAAAAGUGACUGAAGCUAAUACCUGAAACAGAGUAUGUUUAAGAGAUUACCCUACUAUUUUAAACUUCUUUUAUACUUUAAUAAACCCCUACUUACAGGCUUCAAUAGCUUAACUGAGCUAUGUAGCCUUCCCUAAUUACCUCUCUUUCCUAUGUGACCUGACCCAGCCCUUCCACCUCAGGCAGGCAACUACAUCCUAUUCCGCAACACUUUGCCUACACAUUAUCUGCGUAGUUAAUGGAAUCAUUCCCUCCAACCUGAAUGCCUGCUCCAAGUUAGACUCCUCAGGGUGGCUUCCCUGCACACUCUACUUUGCACUUCAAUCCCUAAAAAGGCAGCACAGGAGACCGAAGACAUGCAUUAAAGUUAGGUAGAACCAGGCUAUAUAGCACCAGGCUUCAAUCACAGCUUUGCUCUUUAUUAGCUGCAUGACCUUAAACUACUUACUUAAAACACUGAGCCCCAGUUUUUCCAU
rnacentral:lncRNA from 1 species